UACGUAGGGAGCAAGCGUUGUCCGGAAUCAUUGGGCGUAAAGCGCGCGUAGGCGGCCUCGUAAGUCCGUUGUGAAAGUCAAAGGCUCAACCUUUGAAAGCCGAUGGAUACUGCGAGGCUAGAGUCCGGAAGAGGCGAGUGGAAUUCCUGGUGUAGCGGUGGAAUGCGCAGAUAUCAGGAGGAACACCAAUAGCGAAGGCAGCUCGCUGGGACGGUACUGACGCUAAGGCGCGAAAGCGUGGGGAGCGAACAGG
rnacentral:rRNA from 1 species